AUUGAACACUGGCGGCAUGCUUUACACAUGCAAGUCGAACGGUAACAGGUUAAGCUGACGAGUGGCGAACGGGUGGGUAAUGCAUCGGAACGUGCCCGAUCGUGGGGGAUAACGCAGCGAAAGCUGCGCUAAUACCGCAUACGAUCUGAGGAUGAAAGCGGGGGACCGUAAGGCCUCGCGCGAUCGGAGCGGCCGAUGUCAGAUUAGGUAGUUGGUGGGGUAAAGGCCCACCAAGCCGACGAUCUGUAGCUGGUCUGAGAGGACGACCAGCCACACUGGGACUGAGACACGGCCCAGACUCCUACGGGAGGCAGCAGUGGGGAAUUUUGGACAAUGGGCGAAAGCCUGAUCCAGCAAUGCCGCGUGCAGGAAGAAGGCCUUCGGGUUGUAAACUGCUUUUGUACGGAGCGAAAAGGUCCUUUCUAAUACAAGGGGCUCAUGACGGUACCGUAAGAAUAAGCACCGGCUAACUACGUGCCAGCCGCCGCAGUAA
rnacentral:rRNA from 1 species